UUUUUAUAAAUAAAUUGUAAAAUUAAGUACACAUGUUUAUAUUGUAAAAAUAAUUUAUUUUAUUUUAUACAUAGAAAAAUGCGACACGCAACCGAUCAAUAAGGUUACCAUUGCGGUUUUUGUUUUCUUUGUAUAACCAAAACUUCCAUUAUUACAGAAAAUUUGCAGCAUUGCGAAAAAUUGCAUCAUCAAAAGGCGUUAAUAAAGAAGAGAACGGAAGAAAACUGUCAUUGCUCCUCCUGAGCUGCAAAUCUAGAGGGAUCAACUGUGUCGCUGUCGCUACUUUCAUUUUCUUGCCUCCUCUAGGUUGUAUUGCCUUUCUAUUUGCAUCGCAAGAUUUGGAAUGUGCGAAAAAUUGUCCACAUCAAUAAGCUCCACAGUCUCGCAGAGUUUGGGUGCUAUACAGGUAAGC